rnacentral:snoRNA from 1 species
CCCAGCUAUAGGAAGCUGCCUAGGUUGCCUUGUACCUAAGCAAGUGUUAUACAGCUAGGAGAAAAACAAACAAUAACUGGCUGGCAUUCUGGACAUGGGUAAUAACAAAUUUGUGUUAACUGUACCAGUGUGCCAAUAUA